rnacentral:tRNA from 1 species
GUUAAGAUGGCAGAGCCCGGCCAAUAUUGCAAAAGUCCUAAGCCCUUUCCACAGAGGUUCAAGUCCUCUUCUUAAUU